GACGAACCGUGCGACCGUUGUUCGGAAUCACUGGACUUAAAGGGAGCGUAGGCGGGCUAUCAAGUCUGGGGUGAAAUGCCACGGCUCAACCGUGGAACUGCCUCAGAUACUGACGGCCUCGAGGGAGAUAGGGGCAUGCGGAACUGUAGGUGGAGCGGUGAAAUGCGUUGAUAUCUACAGGAACUCCGGUGGCGAAAGCGGCGUGCUGGAUCUCUUCUGACGCUGAGGCUCGAAAGCUAGGGGAGCAAACGGG
rnacentral:rRNA from 1 species